AUUUGUCUCCAUCUUACCCCUCACUCUCCCCCUCUCUCCUCUCUCUUUGUCUUCUCUUCUCUCUCCUUUCUCUUUGUCCUCUCCUCUCUCCCUUACUCUCUUUCUCUCUAGCCUCUCUCUCUCUCUCCCUCUCUCUCUCUCUUCUCUCUUUCCCCCUGCAUUUCUAUGAUAAAGCUCUUAAACCAUAGAGAGUCUCUGCUCAUCAAGGCUGCGCACACUCUCGCAGGUGUUGGGAACCUCUUCCCUCAUCCCUCUCUCCUAUAACUCCAGAGCUUUAUUUAGCAAGGUAGCUCCGGGAAUCCCAGGUAGGGCUGCCCCUUUGGCCAUGCCCUGAAGAGUAGGAUAGAGGAAUGCCCACCCAGGGAAAAGUAGAAAGGUAAUUGGCAGCUUCCCAUGCCUGACUGACCAGAGAAUAGGUGGAACUCUGGUGGGGUAUGAGUCUUUUCCCUUCCCCUGGCCCCACUUUUUAGUUCACAACAUGCCACGAUCAAGCAUCAUGACUGCUCACUGGCUUUUACCUCUGCUACUCUUUCACAUAUGGCCCAUCUGAGUCUUAAGAAGUAGAGCCCAUUUUCAGGUCAGAAGCUGAAAAGUAUAAGCCAACCAGAACACAGGGAUCCUGAAAACAAAAGAACAAGCAAGCAAGCACACAAAAAAAGAAACCAGAAGACAUUCACAAACUUAUAUUUUUAUUGAAAAUCAUUUUCAGAGGCUCAGCUUCAGAGAGACCAGAGAGACUCUUCAGCCAACUACUGAUGGGAGCAAAUGCAGAGUCCCACAGCCAAGUAUUUGCUGGAGUUCAGGUAGUCCUGUGGAGGAGCAGGAGGAAGGAUCAGAGGAACCAGAGGGGCCUGGGACCCCACAAGCACAUAGUCCAUAGAAUCAUCUGAUGUGGACUCCUGAAGGCUUGCAGAGAACUGAGAACCACAAGGGGUCUGACCUAGGCCCUCUGCAGACAUGUUCUGUGUGAGUAGCUUAGUGUUUUG
rnacentral:lncRNA from 1 species